rnacentral:tRNA from 1 species
GCCGAUGUAGUGUAGUGGCCUAGCACGCAAGCCUGUCGCGCUUGCAACCCGGGUUCGAAUCCCGGCAUCGGCG